CCCUUAGAUGUUCUGGGCUGCACGCGCGCUACACUGACGUACGCAACGAGUGUCCUUUACCGAGAGGUAUGGGUAAUCAUUUGAGUGUACGUCGUGAUGGGGAUAGAAUAUUGUAAUUAUUACUCUUCAACGAGGAAUUCCUAGUAAGCGCAAGUCAGUAGCUUGCGCUGAUUACGUCCCUGCCCUUUGUACACACCGCCCGUCGCUCCUACCGAUGGGUGAUCCGGUGAAUGAUUCGGACUCGGUUGCCUCUAGCCACUAGUGGCGCUCGAGAAAGUUUUGUGAACCUUAUCACUUGGAGGAAGGAGAAGUCGUAACA
rnacentral:rRNA from 1 species